rnacentral:rRNA from 1 species
UACGUAGGCAGCGAGCGUUGUUCGGAAUUACUGGGCGUAAAGAGUGUGUAGGCGGUGUUCCAAGUUCGGUGUGAAAUCUCCCGGCUUAACUGGGAGGGUGCGCCGAAGACUGGAAUGCUCGAGCGUGGGAGAGGAAAGCGGAAUUCUCGGUGUAGCGGUGAAAUGCGUAGAUAUCGGGAGGAACACCUGCGGCGAAGGCGGGUUGCUGGGCUGACACUGACGCUGAAGCGCGAAAGCUAGGGGAGCGAACGGG